UAUUUCAAUUUUCUACUCAUUUCCAAUUUCUUCUCUCUCACUUUCUUUUUCCUCACGCUCUCUCUCUCAAAAUUUCCCCAACAACCUUCUUUCUCUCUUUUCUCUCUACAACAUCCUCUCUUAUCUCUCUACAGCAACCUUCUUUCUCUCUUUUUUCUCUUUCUGCUUCUAUCUUGCUUCCAUAUCCCUCUUCCUUUUGCUAUUCUUCUUCUCCCUUCUUUCUCUUUUGUUAUCUGAAACAAUAAUGGUGUCUGAAUCGGUUUACGGAUAUAGACUGGAUCGAGUUUUACCGCUGAGUUAUGAAGCUAACUAGGUCUGAAUAAACACCAGUUCAAACGUAACAACUGUUAUCGCCUUUGUGAAGUUAGCGCUGACCAAUUUCUUGCAGAAAUUGAAGAGAAGCUGAGGAGUUUGUUUCCAACAAGUGGGCUUUUUCCAGUUUUGGAGAGGCUGUUGCCAGAAGCAAUAGGUCACCUGAAAAACUGCUUAUUCUUCUCGACAUGUACGAGAUAAUGAGAAAGGUGGGGAAGAUGCUUUUUUGUGAGCAACUAUAAUGGAGGAGUUAUUGUUGUUGCUGAUGGUGUCUCUGGGUUUGGAACGAGAAUGAAUAUGAAAGAGCCGACGGGAACGAAAAGUUUAUUUUUCAAGGACUCUUCAUUGACUUAGAGAAAACAAUUUCAGACAGGUUGAACAAACUUGAAAUUUUCAUAUGGACUCAGAUUGAUGCUUUUGUGUACUAAAUGAUUAUUUGGAUGGAAGAGAACUAAGCACUUGAAACUUGGUAGAAACCGUGAUUCUGCAUUUCCCUGUCUAAUAACAAGCAACUGUUAGAUGGUGGCCUGCCUGUGUGGUGCUAUUUUUAACCAAGUCUCCAAAUUUACAUUGAGCAGGCCAAAGGCCAAAGAUUAAGGCACGCAGAAUAGCAAGUCAUUUUGGGGAGAAGUCCUUGAUAUCCUGUUUUGGUUUAAUGGUUUGAAAAAGCAGCUCGACUACAUUCAAUAAGAGUACCGGGAACAUUUGGCUAUCAUGCUCCAGAGUGUAUAUAUACCAUAGGUGAAUCUUUGGUUGAAAGGAUGAGAAAGCAUAAUGUCAUUAAUGGAGGUAAAUAUGUUUUUGUACAUCUUUGUUUUGAAGAUGUUAGUUUUGAUCAAAUAUGUUUAUUUCCAGAGUUAAUUUUCCAGAGUUGGAUUCAACGCCUAACAAAUUAUAUUCACACUAUCAAGGAAAAACUGGUAGUAGUAUAAUAAUAAAAGGGUAGAAAAAAAGAAGAAUAGAUUGAAGUGUGAAAGUCUAGCCUUUUGUGGUUCUCAAUGUAGCAGAUGUCAUAGGCUCUGUCCAACAUGUUGGUAGGACUCAAGUGACUGGUGCUGGAUAUUAGCGUGUAUAGUUCAUAUUUUGUAGUUUAAAAUGUGCUUCUGCUUAUAAAAAAGAAGGCCAAGUAUAGCAAAGUACAAGAUGAUUAAGAACUACAGGCUGUCACCGAUUUGUGUGACCAACUUUCUUCCUAAAAGCAGAGAUUACAUACAAAAUCCUUGGAGAAAUCCUCUAAAAGUUGCUGCUCUGAUUCUUUCACACUCACGUGUCAUUUCAACAUCACAUAAACGAAAUCUAAUGCUUUCACACUUGCAUUUAGUUUGGUUACUAUGUAUUAAUAUAAAUUUUAAAAUUUAAUACUUAUUAAUUUAAUGCCAACAUUACACUA